UAUAACUCUAAAAUGUCGACAAACUUUACUUUAGAUUUACGGGCAUUAGCAGCACUAAAGCGUUAGCAUCCGGCUUGCUAUCGCUAGCACAGUAUGCUAGUAAAGUUAGCACCUAGAUUAAUGUGGAUUUGGCUGAUUUUCGUGGAAUAAAACGUGAUUUCUGAUCAACGCCUUCUUUUACACCAGAUGAUAACCUCCCACUGAUUGUAACAGCAGAGAGCCUGUGUGUUAUUCUACGUGAGUGUGAUGUAAUCUUAGCAUCCAGCAAAUAAAGUCCCAUAUCAGCUAAAAUGCAGCGUGACAAAGUCAUUAAAGUGCGUCAACACAGUGGAUUUAAUAGAGUUUUAAAGAACGAUCUCUGAGUGGAGUGAGGUUAGUUUUUUUGUCUCACUGCAGAUAUAAAAACUAACUCUGCAUCAGUCAGACGCAGCAAAGCUCACCGUCUGUAUGAGCGUGAGCGUCGGAAAGCUGAUAAAAUCGGCUGUAAAAUAAUUAAAACAAAAGUAAAAAUGCUCCUUUGCUUUUUAGAGUCAACAUCCAGAAGUCUGGAGCCGUGUUUCACUGACAGGCUGUCAGACUAACGCCCUGAUGAGCUCAGCAGGGACAAACUGGUCUGAUGUUUAGGAACACAGAACGUUCAGAUGUUGGCGUUUCACGUCACCUACUGAGGAAGGAGGCUCACCAGUAAAGAGAUGGUAGCUGGACCAGACCAAAAAUAUGGCGAUGACAUCAUGGAACUGGUCUUUGGAAAAGUUUUCCCUGAACCAACUCCGUUUCUAGAUGAGGUAGAGAAGAUCUGCAUCUCACCAACCCUCUGGUCUCAGUAUUCAGACAACGGAGGUCUCCCACUGUUAUCCAGGACCAGUUUGAAGCCCACAUACUGCCCCUCCCUCAUCAUCAGGAAACAUCAAUCCGUUUCCUGAGGACAACAGAAGACGGCAGGAGGACAGGAACUCUGUGACCUAGAUACCACCAGCACCGAGACACAAAGCACCUGUGUGCACAACGCCUGUUUAACUACUAAAGCCUGUUUAUUAUAUUGUUCUACUUAUUUGCUGUGAGGUUAAUACUUAGAAAAUUUGUAUAUUAAUGUAAACAAUAAAAAAAAUCACUGAUUGUAUGUUUUCUUUUAGAUGUAAUGGUCCAAACUCAGCCUUGUAGACAUUUAUUGCAUCCUGUAGGUAACAGGCUCAGAUCCAGGAUGACCCAGCAUGCUC